CACGUAGGGUGCGAGCGUUGUCCGGAAUUAUUGGGCGUAAAGAGCUCGUAGGCGGUGUGUCGCGUCGGCCGUGAAAACCUGCAGCUUAACUGUGGGCUUGCGGUCGAUACGGGCAUCACUGGAGUUCGGCAGGGGAGACUGGAAUUCCUGGUGUAGCGGUGAAAUGCGCAGAUAUCAGGAGGAACACCGGUGGCGAAGGCAGGUCUCUGGGCCAUUACUGACACUGAGAAGCGAAAGCAUGGGGAGCGAACAGG
rnacentral:rRNA from 1 species